UACGUAGGGUGCAAGCGUUGUCCGGAAUUAUUGGGCGUAAAGAGCUCGUAGGCGGUUUGUCGCGUCUGCUGUGAAAAUCCAGGGCUUAACCCUGGACCUGCAGUGGGUACGGGCAGACUAGAGUGCGGUAGGGGAGAUCGGAAUUCCUGGUGUAGCGGUGAAAUGCGCAGAUAUCAGGAGGAACACCGGUGGCGAAGGCGGAUCUCUGGGCCUUGCCUGACGCUGAGGCGCGAAAGCUAGGGGAGCGAACAGG
rnacentral:rRNA from 1 species